rnacentral:siRNA from 1 species
UCAUGAUAUCGGGAGGCACGC